UGAUGAUUUGUAAACGUUGCAAAUGUAGCAGAGUAAGAUUAAAUCUUUCCCUCAGUGAGAUGAUUCAGUGUUUCCCAAUGUUCUUCCCUGCAAGGUACUUUUAAAGUGAAUUGGCGGCAUUUUGUUUUGAAUAAGAGAUGCAGCUUUGUAUAACUACAUUCGCUCUUUCGCUGAUCGGCUUCUACUUCAUCACUCAUCACACAACAAAUGCAAAUUUCGAGGAAACAAGAGAACAAGCGAGAGAACACCGAAUGGAAGAAAGGGCGGCAAGUAAGAGUGGAGGGGUUGCGGGUUGGAGGAGAAAGAGGAACGUUAUAGAAAUGACUCCAAGACUUGACGAAAAAACCGCGAAAUCCUUUGGGACGAAAGUAAAAUAAGAAAAUUGAUUUCAGAAAAAUAUUUGUCACUGGGUUAAAGUAUUACUUCAAAUCAUUAAAUGCACAGAUUUUUUUGGUA